AUCCUAUUCAGUACGAGAAGAACCGCAGGUUCAGAUAUUUGGCGUCUGCGCUUGGCUGAGGAGCCGAUGACGCAGAACUGCCACAUGUGGGAUUAUGACAGAACCAAACUAAACUAGGUGGAGGAGAUCUUAGAGAAGAUCCUGUGUCAGAACCAC
rnacentral:ncRNA from 1 species